UGCAUCUGUUAAUUUUUUUAAAUUUUUUUAUUUAAAUUCAUGCGUCUGUUAUUAAAUGAAAUUGAGUUUAUACAUUUAGACCCAGGUCUGUGUGACAUUGCACCGGUCAGCUAAAGUCUCUGGGUGUUAGAAUCCUCAUAUGUAAGUUAACAGAGCUGGACUAGGUAAUCUUUAAAGUUCUUUUUUCACUCGGACAUCUGCAAUUCCAUGGAAAAAGAAAAAGCCUUUCAAUUCUUUAUUCAAGCCAUCAUUUAUGAACAUUUUGCCCUCUAGUGGCAAGAAUCAAGGAAAAACUAUUCCUCCUGAGGAAAACUUUCACGUCCACAUCCCUAUCAAAACCUGGUAUUUUGAUGAAUGCUUAGGCUUGCUUCAAUAUUUUUCUAGUUAUGUCUACCGAAAAGUUACUCCCAAAAUUAGCAGCUUUCAACAACAAACAUUUAUGAAGUUUCCAAGAGUCAGGAACUUCCGAGCAGCUUCCUGCAACCAAGGAGUCAGCCUUGCUCAGCUCACUCAUCCGAAAGCUUGACCAGGCAGGAGGAGGUGCUUCCAAGCUCGUGAGGCUGGUGACAGGAGGCUUCAGUUCCUAGACUUUCGGAUUUCUCCAUAGGGCCACUCAAGACACGGUAGCUGGGUCCUUCCAAGCUUUCCUUUAGGGAGAAGAAUAUUAUAACCGAAAAUUAAAUCAAAGCUGUUGCUUAUCAAUAAGAACAAUCAAGAAGAGAAAGAUGGAAGAUUGCCUUGGAAAUAGGAGAGGACCAAUGAAAUAUUAAUGUUCUGUGGGCCUGGGGCCCAGAGAGACUAAUAUUCAAUGAGUGUCUUUAGACCUCAAGCAUCCACUGUAUAUAGCAGUAUCAGUGUUUGUUUGGGUAAUGAGACAACAGAAUUCCAGGAAAUGGAGCAAGAUUGUCCACCAAAGAGCCCAGCAUAAUAAUGAGCAACCAUCUGGAAACUUUGGCUUUGAUACCAGCUGAAGAAACAGAGGUUGGUUAAGUGUUUACUCAAGUGACUUAGCAGCCAAAGCUGCACAUCAUGUGUCCUUAUCUACAGAGUUUGCUAAGUGGGGCCUUGCAAGAAGGGGUUGAUAUCCUGCAAGCAUAUUUCAUCCCAACACCAUGACACAUGAAACAUGUUGUUGUACAGCAAACAUUCCAAGACUGAGUAUGUUUCUCAAAUUUGAUCUCUUUCCUGGAUUCCCAGGUUUUCCAGGCUUUCAUGCAAAUACCUUUACUUUUGUUGACAUUAUUUUUCUAAUGAUUAUUAUUGUCCAAAAAAA